GACGAACCGUGCGAACGUUGUUCGGAAUCACUGGGCUUAGAGGGCGCGUAGGCGGGCGGUCAAGUCCGGGGUGAAAUCUUUCGGCUCAACCGGACAAUUGCCUUGGAUACUGGCCGUCUAGAGGGUGGUAGGGGCAUGUGGAACUUCCGGUGGAGCGGUGAAAUGUGUUGAUAUCGGAAGGAACACCGGUGGCGAAAGCGACGUGCUGGACCUCUUCUGACGCUGAGGCGCGAAAGCCA
rnacentral:rRNA from 1 species